AUGAAAUCUCUGUUGCUUUUCCUUUCCCUGCUCUCCGUCCCCACCUGUGUCCUCUCUCAGGUGCAGCUGGUCCAGUCGGGCCCGGGAACGGUGAAGCCCGGAGAGACCCUCACACUGACCUGCGCUGUCUCGGGUGUAUCCAUCACUGACGGCAGCUACGCUUGGAACUGGAUCCGGCAGCCCUCCGGGAAAGGGCUGGAGUGGAUGGGGUACGUGUACCCAUACAAUAGCGGGGAGACAGGCUACGCCCCGUCUCUCCAAGGCCGAGUCACCAUCUCUGCAGACACUGCCAAGAGCCAGUUCUCCCUGCAGCUCCGCUCGCUGACAGCCGCAGACACCGCCACCUAUUACUGUGCCAGACACACAGUGACACAGAGCAAAGCGGGACUGGCACAAAAAGAGGAAGUUGGUUCUAAGUAG